rfam:Rattus norvegicus chromosome 14, whole genome shotgun sequence.
GGGGAUUUGGCUCAGUGGUAGAGCACUUGCCUAGCAAGCACAAGGCCCUGGGUUCGGUCCCCAGCUCCG